CCAUGUCUGUCUGCCCGUCCGUCUGUCCAUCCGUCUUAUUGAGCGCCUGGAUCUCAGAGACCAUAAGAGCUAGAGCCACCAAAUUUUGCAUCCAGACUUCUGUAUGCUCACACUGUCACAAGUGUAUUUCAAAAAUGAGCCCCGCCUCCUUCCGCCCCCGCAAAAGGGCGAAAACCUCCAAAAACUACAAUUUUAAAGGGAAUGACCAUAUCUAUCAGUUGACGAAAUUGGGAUCCGAUGGGAUCAAUAUUAUAGCCACAAUGAAGAAAUUAAUUUGCAGUGACUAAACCCACCCCGUCCCGCAGCUUAUAUUUGUUUUUGGCACAUUCUCUCAUUCACACUCUGCUUCGCGCAGUGUGUGGCGGCCUCUGCCUCUGCCGCAAGUCUGCAGUGUGUGGGACCAGAGAAGGGGGGCGAGCUAAAGGAGCGUGUUGGUGUGAGAAGUUUUGUAGCUGUAGAUGCCACAUGAAGAAAAAAUGUAAAAUUUGACAAAAACCGCUAAGGUGCAGAAGUAGAACUGGGUGGCGGGUAUAAAAGUUGUGACGCGUAAGAAGCGUUUCACACGUCCCUUCUCGUUUUUUUUAGGAAAACAAACACAUGUUGAGGUUCUGCAUUUUAGAAAGUCAAUGGCGAAAGGACAAACUGAGCACUCGCAAAAUUUUAGGAAUGGAGCUACACACUCGCUUCAAAAAUCAUUCAGGUAUAUUUUGUAAUGCAACCUUUAUUCCAUUUAUUUCUAUAUUAAUUUACCUUCUAUCUGCAGACAGCCAUUGAGAAUUUUGGGAAUUGUCUUGUUCAUGCAUCUUAUUAAAGAAGUAUAUAGUUUUUUCACACAUGUGGCAUAAGCCAAAUGGAAGUUUACGACCAAGAAAAUAUAGAAAAAAUGUCGUACAAAAAUUGAGCUUCUCUCAAAAUCUGAUCCUAAUAGCCGCCCAGCAGACGUACGACAUACAUUCCACUCUAAUGAAAGCCGCAAUUUGUGUGAGUAACAGAGAAAAUAUAUGGCCUUUAAUUUUUUAUGAAAAAAAAAAUACGAGAGUGGGAAAGCCAUGGGCUUGUGCCUCGGGGGCAAACAGCAAAGCGAAAACAAUUUAAGUGUCCCUCGGUUGCCACGCUAAACGCCUUCAAUUUAACGCCAGACACACGUCACAGGCCACAGUACGAUGAGGAGAGUCAUGCAGAGAGGGGGUGUGCGAGAGAGUGGGCCAGAUACUGUGGCAUUGUGAAGUGGAGAUGUUGGGUGGAGGGGGAAAAGAAGCUUGAGUGUGUGAACUUUGGUGCAAGCGCAGUGCGUAUUUUGACCAUCCCGAUGCCUCUUUAAAAAUCUCUGCUCUGGCAUGUGAAUGGCAACCAAAAGUAUUCUACAGCAAAAAUCACUUGAGAGGUGAAAAAGAAAGACUCCCUUCCUACCUAUCGAAAUGGAAUUCGGCAACUCAACAUAAACGUUGAUGAGGUGUAAGGCGAAGGUCCUACUCCAACUGCAACAGCAACUGCAGCAGUAGAAAAUCGAAGAAAACUAAAUUGAAGAAAAACAUCGAACUUUUGCCCCAUUUCCUAAGACAGACUUUUCAGUCUUUCAAAAGAGCCAAAGCAGAAUAGAAUAUAGAAUAUUGAGUACUUAGCUUUCUUUAUGCAUAUGUUGAAUUACAGAACUUUGCAAAUGCGACCCAUAUAUGAACAAAGAUUUAUCAGAGAUGAAAUAAUUUAUAUCAUAAUUAUACACAUUUCCGUCAAAUUUACAUCAACAGCCAGGUGUUCAAAUAGACACAGAGAUUUAUAGUAGCUAUGAAAUAUUUCAUACAUUUUAUUACUUUAUGCCUCAAUAAUUUCCAAAAUUAAAUUUUCUUCAGGUAAAUAUUUUCAAAAAGAAAAUGUCUUACCAUCUGUACACACACAUUUAUGUGGAGAUGCUGUGCUCACUGAAAGUGUGCACUGCAAUUAUGAUAACAUAUGUGCCCUUGCCACAGUUUGCGGGAUAUACCAGACUGUAGACAUGCUCUCCACCCUCUGGGCCUGCAACACAAAAGCAGUUUAUAGUUUUUUAUGCAAUAUGUUCUCAACAGUCUUGUUUCAGGUUUUUGUGGCAUGUUGCAGCUUCUGCUGCUGUUGGUGAAAGUGCAUUUGCUGCAGAGGCUCUUUAAAAGUUUCGUGUGUUUUUAUUUUCUCACUACAUUUUGUGUGGCAGCAGAAGCGCAGAAGAAGUUGUAGAUUGUAAAGAACAGCAGCAGUUCGUACUGCAUUGUGGCAUGGUUUUAUUUGACAGCCUGUGGUGAUGGUUAUUCUGUGUGAAAUGAAACAACUCUAUUAAGUGAGGUUUUGGUCCCCUCACCUAAAUAGAAUAUUUACUCUUAGAGUACCGAGUAUUAAGACAUAUAACUCUUAAUCAUCUUUGUGCCCUCUAAUGCUCUAAUGCAAUUUCAGCUCUUAAGACGAUCUCAAACCUCGUUCACUUCAAACAUUUGUCCCCAUAAUUUACGUUACAUCAACAAUUCAUUCAAAUUAACAGCAAUAAAAGAGAACGGUGGAACGCGUCACAAGUUUUAUACACACAAAGUUUAAUGUAAUUUUACAUUUUACAUUUUUCUACAUGUCUCAUGUACAUAAUCAAUUACAUCACAAUUUACAUUAAUUCCUUCACACCCUUUUAGCUCGACUUUUUAAAGAAUUGGUAAAGUCUGGUAUUUUCUUGUAACGGAUUUUUUAGAGUUAGCGCUUCUUUAUAUCACAUAACUUAAGUAUCUUACAUCUGGGCAGACAGACUGACAAAUGGUCGGUCAGACAGACAUGGCUAUAUAGACUCGGCUGUUGAUGCUGAUCAAGAAUCUAUAUACUUUAUGGUACUCUUCGAGUAGCGGGUAUAAAAAUGUCUGCAGAAGGUAAGAAACCCAAACACGACGACAAAAAAAUAUAUACGAACGAGAAGGGACGUGUAGACGCUUCGUACGCUUCAGAACUUUUAUACCCGGUACUCAGUCAGUAUAUCUGCACCAAGUGGUUUUUUUCGAAUUUAAGAUGUCACAUUUUCCAUUUAUACCUAAGCAAUGUCACAGGGUUAUUAAUGAUAUAGUUUCGGCAUUUGAAAACAAAAAAUACUGCACUGCUGCAUUUCUUGAUGUUCAACAAGCGUUCGAUCAAGUCUGGCACAAAGGUUUGUUGUACAAGAUUAAGAAAUGGCUACAUGAUCCGUACUAUUCAUUAUUCAAAUCAUAUCUGGCUAAAAGAUGCUUUAACGUGCAGCAGAAAACCGAUACUUUAUCACUACUUCUCAUCAACGCAGGCGUCCCACAAGGAAGCGUGUUGGGACCAAUUCUCUACACCCUAUAUACAGCCGACAUGCCAGUUACAAACAACUGCACUGUUGCAACAUAUGCUGAUGAUACAGCCGUUUUAGCCACAAGCACAUCUAUAAAUGAAGCUUCCGAACUCCUGCAGAGUGAGCUAAGCCUAAUUGAAGACUGGUUCCUUCGAUGGAAAAUUAGAAUCAACUCCCUGAAAUCCGUCCAAAUAACGAUUUCAUUAAGACCGGGUAACUUGAGAUACUUCAGCGUUACCAAUCAAAAACUUUGCGACACAUUGUCAAUUCUCCGUUUUACAUAUCUAAUGCAAAUAUCUACAAAGAUCUUAAUAUUCCAACCAUUAAAGAAGAAAUAAAGAAAACUAGUGAGAAAUACAUCGACAGACUCCACAACCAUGAAAAUAAUUUAGCCUUAAGUCUAUUAGACAAUAGCUUAACAGUAAGAAGACUGAGAAGAUACCACAUUCUCGAUCUCCCCAAUAGAUAAAUCCAAC
rnacentral:lncRNA from 1 species